UCUGACCUCAAAUCAGGUAGGACUACCCGCUGAACUUAAGCAUAUCAAUAAGCGGAGGAAAAGAAACUAACAAGGAUUCCCCUAGUAACUGCGAGUGAAGCGGGAAAAGCUCAAAUUUGAAAUCUGGCAGUCUUUUUUUUCUUCUUUGGCUGUCCGAGUUGUAAUCUAGAGAAGUGCUUACCUGCACUGGACCAUGUAUAAGUCUCCUGGAAUGGAGCGUCACAGAGGGUGAGAAUCCCGUCUUUGACAUGGACUGCCAGUGUGCUGUGGUGUGCUCUCAAAGAGUCGAGUUGUUUGGGAAUGCAGCUCUAAAUGGGUGGUAAACUCCAUCUAAAGCUAAAUAUUGGCGAGAGACCGAUAGUGAACAAGUACCGUGAGGGAAAGA
rnacentral:rRNA from 1 species